rnacentral:rRNA from 1 species
CCCGCUGAACUUAAGCAUAUCAAUAAGCGCAGGAAAAGAAACCAACAGGGAUUGCCUCAGUAACGGCGAGUGAAGCGGCACCAGCUCAAAUUUGAAAUCUGGCCUCUCGGGGUCCGAGUUGUAAUUUGUAGAGGAUGUUUUGGGUACCGCCCCGGUCUAAGUUCCUUGGAACAGGACGUCAUAGAGGGUGAGAAUCCCGUAUGUGAUCGGUGCCGUUGCCCGUGUAAAGCGCUUUCGACGAGUCGAGUUGUUUGGGAAUGCAGCUCAAAAUGGGUGGUAAAUUUCAUCUAAAGCUAAAUAUUGGCCAGAGACCGAUAGCGCACAAGUAGAGUGAUCGAAAGAUGAAAAGCACUUUGGAAAGAGAGUUAAACAGUACGUGAAAUUGUUGAAAGGGAAGCGCUUGCAACCAGACUUGCGGGCGGUCGAUCAUCCGAGGUUCUCCCCGGUGCACUCGAUCGUUCUCAGGCCAGCAUCGGUUUCCGGGGUGGGAUAAAGGCGGUGGGAAUGUGGCUCUUCGGAGUGUUAUAGCCCACCGUGCAAUGCCGCCACUGGGGACCGAGGACCGCGCUUCGGCUAGGAUGCUGGCGUAAUGGUUGUAAGCGACCCGUCUUGAAACACGG